GCUGAUAUAGCUCAGUUGGGAGAACACAAGACUCUUAAUCACAAGGUCGUGGGUUUGAGCCCUAUGUUGGGUA